UAUAAUAAAAAAUAAAUCUUUGGGCC
rnacentral:piRNA from 1 species